CCCCAAAUGUACCAGCUUGAAGUGACACUUAGGAUCUCAUGGUGUUAUGGUUUGGAUGUGAGGUGUCCCCCAGAGCUCAAGUGUGAGACACUGAGAGAAGGUUUAGAUUGGGUCGUGGCUUCACUUACUCAGCAGAUUAGUCCCUGAUGGCAUUGACGGAGUGGCAACUAGAGGUGGUGGGCUGAGGCUGGAGGAAGGGGUUCGUGGGGCGCGUGGCUGUGGGGUGUAUAUUUUGUAUCUGGAGCGUGGAGUCCCUCUCUGCUUCCUGAUCACCAUGUAGCGGCUUCCCUCUGCCACACUCUUCCGCGGUGAUGUCCUGCCUCCCCUUGAGCCCUGAGAAAUGGAGCCGGCCUUCUGUGGACUGAGACCUCUGAAACCAUGAACUCUCAAAUCCACGCUUCCUCCUCUACAAUCGUUGUGGUCAGGUCUUUUAGUCCAGCACUGAGAAGCUGGCUGACACACAAGUUUCUGUAGACUGGGUAUUGGGCACCACCCCCUGGAUUCCUGCCCUAGGACCUUUCUAGGUCACCAUCAAGGUACCCGUGGGGGCUGCUGUCAUCCGAAAGCUGGUCUAAGGCUGUGGGCAAGUUCUCAGGACCUCCCCUGGGGACCAUCACCCCAUCCCAGUUGCCUAGAUUAUUCUUCAGGAGCAAAGUCACCAGGCACAACUUGGAGAGAGGAUGGGGAUGUGACUGCCAGGAGGCGGCUCAUGGGGCCAUUUUGGAAGUGACCAACCUCCAUUACUAUAAAGAGCCAACUGUCGUCUGUUCUCAAAACUUAAUAACGUCCUUGGACAACGGCUCAAAUGAAGAUUCCUGGACUCUCCUCCCAGGGCUUCUAUUAGAUUCGAGUCUCCAGUUUGCAAGAGGAAAGCCGCCCAGUGCGGGGAGGGCAGAGCAGGAGGGACAAUGGACUUUUCUUUGCUCAUUUCCUGUCGGUAUUUUGACAAAGCAGAGAUGAAGACAUGUCCUCUCUCCUAAUUCACCAGGAAGCUACGAGCUGCAACUGGGUGUGACUAUUCCUGUUCCAGGGACAAGGACGGGGAUGUGGGUGUCAGCUGUGCCCCCAGAGCCCCACAUUGCUGGAGCGUUGGGAGUACAGUGGCUUCAGGGUGCUUGGCACUGGGACUGUGGAAUGGGCAGGUCUGAACCUGGCUGCCCUUUUUCUCGCCUCCCUUUUCAGGACCUACAGACCGCGUGGCUUGGGAGGAAUAAGAGUAGAGAGAAGCAGGAAGUUCUUGGUGCUUGGAGGUCUUCGGAGAGAGCCGGGUGCAGGUCAGGAGCCAUCAAGGAUUGACGAGACCAGGCUCAGUCAUUGGUCCUGUGCGUCUGUUUACAUCCACAUUCUGGGUUCUCCCUCCAGUGCCAGGGAUGAAUGCCAACCAUCUGCAAGUGCCCCACCCCGUGGUGAACUGAGUAACAGUCCCCAUCCUUCACCAAGAUGUCCAUGUCCUGAUCAGCGGAACCUGGGACAGUGGGGGUGGGUCUGGUCUAAAGGGUUUGAGGUGAUAAGCUUUGGUGGGGCUGAGGUCAUCCCAGCAGCCCUCCUGAGAGGAGGCAGGAGAAACGCAUCCCUAGUCCAUGGAACCAAAGAGGUGGAGGGAUGCCAGGGGCCGGGCAGCUUCUGAUACUGUCCCCAGAAGGAACCAGCCCCCCAACACCUUGACUUUAGCCUGGAGACUGUUUUUGGACUUUGGAUCUCUAGAACCUUGUGCCAUAUAAAGUGACGCAUGCAGACCAGGGACACCUUAGGGGGCCAUUAUCCUGCCUUCUGCAGCCAGAGACUUGGGUUCAAUCCUGGCUCUGAUCCUGAGGGACUUGUGUCUUUGCCCGAGUCCCCUCUCUCUGGGUCUCAGCUUCCUUUUACCUGGACAAUUCAGAGUGUGUCAGGAGUGAGCGAGAGAGAGAGAGAGCUGGUGCAUCUUUAGCAGGAGAACAGAUUUUCUCAUCCCACACUCAGAUGGCUUAUUUUUUUCUUACAACCGAUUUUUGGCCUUCCUCACGAUGAAUUUCCAUCCCUGGGGAAUCAGAAGAGAGAAAAGAAAAUUAGCCCCAGUGUUCCUGAGGACGGUCCAGAUGAGGCUUCAGAGAGGAACCCCCGACCCGCAAGACGUCAGGGGCUUCACUCAACAAAAGGGCCGCUUCUCACUUAGGCCAAUAGGGCUCAGGUCAGGACAAACCUCUCCAUUUCUUGGAACCCAUGAGUGGCAGGUCUCUGUGGCAGAGAAGAUGGCGGGGAGAUAGGCCAGCUCAGCCUAUCUGCUCAGCCUGCAAGUCCGAGGCCAGUUCUGCUCACAGUUCAUUGCUCAGAACCAGUCGCACUGAGAUGGGUGGGCUCCCAGAGAAAGAAGAAGGGACCCCUUGGGCCGGGAUCUACAGGCAUGAGUGACCCGUCUCGCUUGUUCCUUUAGAUGGAAUGAAGAAACCCCCACAGUGUGCUGGCAUCAGAUCAACUGGAACAAAACCACAAUUAAUUUAAACAUCACCAUAUUCCAAGGCUCACCCAAUGUGUCCACUAAUGAUUCCCGGGUAGGAUGGUCGACCCAAGGGGAGCAUUCCCAAUGAUUGUCAGGGGACUUGAUUUCCAAAGAGGCUUGCCUGAGGACCCACACAUUUCUUCCCAGGAAAAUCACAUAUAAAGUCGUGAACUUGACCCUGGGCCCAUCAUUUGUCUUCUCCCCUAGUCCACCUCUGGGCUGUCUGGCUGUUGCUUAUGCCUUGCUUUUGACGCAUCUAGAAAUUCUUUUCACUAUCAGAAGUGAAGAACCCUCGUGGGCGGAGGUGACGUCUCUAUCUGCUCUUUGGCAGGGCCUCUUGGGACCCUUGUCCCAGGACCACAUGAUCCACCGGGUGACUGGAAGGCAGGCUGAGGAGACAUGGCUGACUUCCUGUCUGCCCAGGAAGAGGAAACGGGGUGGGGAGAAGGUGGAGAUGCUGCCCAGUUUCUGGUCUGAAACACAGGUUAAGUAUUUCCUUGAAAUAAGUUCUCUGGGCUUCCUUCUGACUUUGAGUUUUUAGUCAUCUAUUUUCCUCUCUCUGGAUGUGUGGGAGGGGUGCACUUUUAUAGAUGACUCCCAUUUUCUUUCCUCUUUUGAAUGUAUACUUAAAAAAUAAAAAAGAGCUCCAAUUAGCAGAGAAGGAGUGCUGUGGAGUCUUCCCUUGGAAUGGAAACCCCGCCUCAAAUGGAGAUUCUCAGUUGGCUUCCAAGGGGAAGAAAUGUUUCUAAAAAACUUCUAGCCUUGGGGAAAAAAAACAGAAUAAAUAUGUUGCUUAGCCUGUGGUCAUGGGAAAUUAAAAGUUAGAAAGUUAAAACACACAACUAGGUGUGGUGGCGCAUGCCCGUAAUCCCAGCAACUCGGGAGGCUGAGGCAGGAGGAUCUCAAGUUCAAAGCCAGCCUCAGCAAUUUAGUGAGGCCCUAAGCAACUCAGCGAGACCCUGUCUCUGAAUAAAAUAUAAAAAAGGGCUGGGGAUGUGGCUCAGUGGUUGAGUGCCCCUGGGUUCAAUCCCCAAUACCAAAAACAAAAUAAAACAACAUUUAAAACACUGAUAAACAGCGACACUUCAGUUCAAUUCUUUCAUGAUCAUUGCAUUUUUUUGGUGUGUGUACUUCAGAAUGAUGGAUUGUUCUGGAAAUGAUAAGAAACAGGUGGCUUUUAAGCUUCUUAGGCUCAGCCAGGUGAGAGUCCUACAUGAGUUUAGCAGUCUCAGAAAGAAAUGGGUGAUCAUUUUGCUUCUUGCAUUAGUUUCCUGUUGUUGCAAUAACAAUUAAAAGGCACAUAUUUGUUAUCUCAGAGCCUGCAGGCAAGGAGUCUGAAAUGUGUCUCAGUGGGUUCAAAUCAAGGAGCUGGGGGGCUGCGUUCCUCUCUGGAGGUCCCAGAAGAGGGUCUCUGCUCUUGCCUUUCCCCUUCCCAGAUUCGCGGUCUCCUUCCUCUCCCAGCAGCAGCGGUGACUAGGAUCUCCUGUCUCUUCUUCGGUGAUCCUCUCUCACUCUGACUGGGAAAGAGUCCCUGUUUUAAGGGCUCAUGUGUUUGGACGGGGCCCACCUGGAUAAGCCCAGAUGAGCUCCCCACCUCAAGGUCCACGGGGUUAAUGGCAUCUGCAAAGCCCUCUCCCUGUGUGGGGUGGCGUGCUUACGGCCCCAGGGGCAAGGCUGUGGACAUGUUUGUGGGGGUGUCACUCGGCCUGACUCCGUGCUUUCCCAGGCUUUCUGGGGAUUUAGCAGUAUUUUCUCCCCCACCCUCAGCAGGGGCUUGGCCCAGCUCAGGUGGUCCCAGCUGUCCAUGGAGUCCUCCAUGAUUCUGACAUCACUCUGGCCGCAGCCUUCAAAAAGCCUGUCGACCUGCUCUCCACCUUGGGGACCGUCCCCCCCAGUCAGGGUUUCUCCUGAGGGCUGAAGAGGGACCCUCUGUGCUGCCCGCGUCCUCCUCUCCUUGCUGGAACCCUGCACAGCUGAGCCUUUGUCCUCUUCUGGUGCUUACUCCCCGCCCUGCGAGGGUGACCCCACGUUCUGGCCCCUUUGGGAAUAGGGGACAUUCCCUGGGUGCCUCGCAGCCCAGGGAAGUGCCACACCAGGGCUCUGGUCACCAUCCCAGCUGGGUGGAGCUGCCGGGCUGCUCACGCUCUCAUCCAAGCCGGAUUCCUCCUUCGAGGUCUACACCCCACUCCAGGGGACCUGGCCCAACUCACACAGGGCGGUGCCAGGGAAGAGCUUCCCGUGCCUCUCCCUGUCCAGGGCUCUCCUGGACUCUGAUGACCAUGAAUGACGGAUAAAUGGAUUGGAAGCUGCGGACGCUUGAUUACUGAGCUACAACUCCAGUCCUUUUUAUUUUGAGACUGAGUUGCUGAGGCUGGCCUCCAACUUUGUGCUCCUCCUGCCUCAGCCUCCAGAGUCACUGGGAUUACAGGCAAGUACCACCUGGCUCCCGGUGGUCCUUUUAACCACAAAUCGUCCCCAUUGGUGAGCUCAUUCUUGGUCUGCUGCUCAAACUCUUCCAAAUUCCUCUUGC